rnacentral:rRNA from 1 species
AGAGUUUGAUCCUGGCUCAGAAUGAACGUUGGCGGCGUGGAUUAGGCAUGCAAGUCGAACGAGUCUCUGGGGGGUAACUCCUAGAGGAAAGUGGCGAAAGGGGCAGUAAUGUAUGGGUAACCUACCUUGAGGUCUGGGAUAGCUAUUCUAACGGAUAGGUAAUACUGGACGGCCUAAGUUGUCGGCAUCGACGAUUUAGUAAAGGUUACGCCUCGAGAGGGGCCCAUAUGAUAUUAGCUAGUUGGUGGGGUAAUGGCCCACCAAGGCAAAGAUGUCUAGCGGGUGUGAGAGCACGACCCGCGUCAUUGGCACUGAGACACUGGCCAAACUCCUACGGGAGGCUGCAGUCGAGGAUCUUCGGCAAUGGACGAAAGUCUGACCGAGCAACGCCGCGUGUGCGAUGAAGGCCUUCGGGUUGUAAAGCACUGUCGAGGGGAAACAAGCCGUAAGGUUGAGUGACCCCUGGAGGAAGCACGGGCUAAGUUCGUGCCAGCAGCCGCGGUAAGACGAACCGUGCAAACGUUAUUCGGAAUCACUGGGCUUAAAGGGCGCGUAGGCGGGUGAUCAAGUCAAUGGUGAAAUCCUCCAGCUUAACUGGAGAAGUGCCUUUGAUACUGAUUGUCUAGAGGGAGGUAGGGGCAUGUGGAACUUCAGGUGGAGCGGUGAAAUGCGUAGAUAUCUGAAGGAACGCCAGUGGCGAAAGCGAUGUGCUGGACCUCUUCUGACGCUGAGGCGCGAAAGCUAGGGGAUCAAACGGGAUUAGAUACCCUGGUAGUCC